GACGAACGCUGGCGGCGUGCCUAAUACAUGCAAGUCGAACGCACUCUCGUUAGAUUGAAGAAGCUUGCUUCUGAUUGAUAACAUUUGAGUGAGUGGCGGACGGGUGAGUAACACGUGGGUAACCUGCCCUAAAGUGGGGGAUAACAUUUGGAAACAGAUGCUAAUACCGCAUAAAACCUAGCACCGCAUGGUGCAAGGUUGAAAGAUGGUUUCGGCUAUCACUUUAGGAUGGACCCGCGGUGCAUUAGUUAGUUGGUGAGGUAAAGGCUCACCAAGACCGUGAUGCAUAGCCGACCUGAGAGGGUAAUCGGCCACACUGGGACUGAGACACGGCCCAGACUCCUACGGGAGGCAGCAGUAGGGAAUCUUCCACAAUGGACGAAAGUCUGAUGGAGCAACGCCGCGUGAGUGAAGAAGGUUUUCGGAUCGUAAAACUCUGUUGUUGGAGAAGAACGUAUUUGAUAGUAACUGAUCAGGUAGUGACGGUAUCCAACCAGAAAGCC
rnacentral:rRNA from 1 species